rnacentral:rRNA from 1 species
GAAGGUUUCGGAUGGAAUUUGAAAUGACUGAGCGGCGGACGGGUGAGUAACGCGUGGGUAACCUGCCUCAUACAGGGGGAUAACAGUUAGAAAUGACUGCUAAUACCGCAUAAGCACACAGUACCGCAUGGUACGGUGUGAAAAACUCCGGUGGUAUGAGAUGGACCCGCGUCUGAUUAGCUAGUUGGCGGGGUAACGGCCCACCAAGGCGACGAUCAGUAGCCGACCUGAGAGGGUGACCGGCCACAUUGGGACUGAGACACGGCCCAAACUCCUACGGGAGGCAGCAGUGGGGAAUAUUGCACAAUGGGGGAAACCCUGAUGCAGCAACGCCGCGUGAGUGAAGAAGUAUUUCGGUAUGUAAAGCUCUAUCAGCAGGGAAGAAAGUGACGGUACCUGACUAAGAAGCCCCGGCUAACUACGUGCCAGCAGCCGCGGUAAUACGUAGGGGGCAAGCGUUAUCCGGAUUUACUGGGUGUAAAGGGAGCGUAGACGGCACAGCAAGUCUGAAGUGAAAUCCCCGGGCUCAACCCGGGAACUGCUUUGGAAACUGUUGGGCUGGAGUGCUGGAGAGGCAAGCGGAAUUCCUAGUGUAGCGGUGAAAUGCGUAGAUAUUAGGAGGAACACCAGUGGCGAAGGCGGCUUGCUGGACAGUAACUGACGUUGAGGCUCGAAAGCGUGGGGAGCAAACAGGAUUAGAUACCCUGGUAGUCCACGCCGUAAACGAUGCAUACUAGGUGUCGGGGAGCAAAGCUUUCCGGUGCCGCCGCAAACGCAGUAAGUAUGCCACC